rnacentral:rRNA from 1 species
AUGACAUUUAGGGGAAGAAGUCAGUUCAAGAGGGCACUGGUGAAGUAUGGCCUUGCUAUGAAGAGGCAUAUUUGCUUUGUAAAAGAUGAGGCUGGUAGGAUUAGGGCAAAAUGUUCUUGGCCUAAGUGUCCUUGGUUGAUUUAUGGUGCAAAGAGGAGCUCAAAUGAUUGGUUUCAAGUCAUAACACUUGUUGACAACCACAUAUGCCCACAGAGGAGAGACAACAGAUUGGUUACUGCAUCUAGAAUUGCAGACAAAUAUGAGAGAAUUAUGAAGGCAAAUCCAUGA